UACGUAGGUGGCGAGCGUUGUCCGGAAUUAUUGGGCGUAAAGGGCGCGUAGGCGGAAAUGUAAGUCUGUUGUAAAAGUUCGGGGCUCAACCCCGUGAAGCAAUGGAAACUGCAUUUCUUGAGUGCAGGAGAGGAAAGUGGAAUUCCCAGUGUAGCGGUGAAAUGCGUAGAUAUUGGGAGGAACACCAGUGGCGAAGGCGACUUUCUGGACUGUGUCUGACGCUGAGGCGCGAAAGCCAGGGGAGC
rnacentral:rRNA from 1 species